GUUCCUGAGAUGUGGGCUUUGCCACUGUCUCUUCCCGUGUCUUUUGAUGCUUACUUUUCCUCCGCGGGCUCGCCCGCCGGUUGGACGCUUUAAACCCCUUGCCCUUGCAAUCCCGUAUGAAAAACAUAAUAGUUACAACUUUCAACAACGGAUCUCUUGGUUCUGGCAUCAAUGAAGAACGCAGCGAAAUGCUUGAAUUAGGGUGAAUUGAAGAAUUCAGUGAAUCGUCAAAUCUUUGAACACUCGUUGCGCCCCUUGGUAUUCCAUGGGGCAUGCCUGUUCGAGCGUCCUUGGUACCUUCGGGCUCUGCUUGGUGUUAGGUGUUUGUCUCCCCUUGCGCGUAGACUCGCCUUAGGGCCAUUGCCUCCCGGCGUAUUGAAUUCGGACCACAGGACAUCUCGCGCUUUGCACUCGUACCCACGACGUCGGAGAUUACUUUUUACACUCUUGACCUCGGAUCGGGCAUGGAUACCCGCUGAACUUAAGCAUAUCGUUAAGCCGGAGGAAGGUAGGGAUACCCGCUGAACUUAAGCAUAUCAAUAAGCGGAGGA
rnacentral:rRNA from 1 species